rnacentral:rRNA from 1 species
UGCUGGAGGUAUCAGAAGUGCGAAUGCUGACAUAAGUAACGAUAAAGCGGGUGAAAAGCCCGCUCGCCGGAAGACCAAGGGUUCCUGUCCAACGUUAAUCGGGGCAGGGUGAGUCGACCCCUAAGGCGAGGCCGAAAGGCGUAGUCGAUGGGAAACGGGUUAAUAUUCCCGUACUUGGUGUUACUGCGAAGGGGGGACGGAGAAGGCUAUGUUGGCCGGGCGACGGUUGUCCCGGUUUAAGCGUGUAGGUGUGUGUUCCAGGUAAAUCCGGUUCACUUUAACACUGAGGCGUGACGACGAGGCACUACGGUGCUGAAGCAACAAAUGCCCUGCUUCCAGGAAAAGCCUCUAAGCAUCAGGUAACAUCAAAUCGUACCCCAAACCGACACAGGUGGUCAGGUAGAGAAUACCAAGGCGCUUGAGAGAACUCGGGUGAAGGAACUAGGCAAAAUGGUGCCGUAACUUCGGGAGAAGGCACGCUGACACGUAGGUGAAGUGAUUUACUCAUGGAGCUGAGGUCAGUCGAAGAUACCAGCUGGCUGCAACUGUUUAUUAAAAACACAGCACUGUGCAAACACGAAAGUGGACGUAUACGGUGUGACGCCUGCCCGGUGCCGGAAGGUUAAUUGAUGGGGUCAGCGCAAGCGAAGCUCCUGAUCGAAGCCCCGGUAAACGGCGGCCGUAACUAUAACGGUCCUAAGGUAGCGAAAUUCCUUGUCGGGUAAGUUCCGACCUGCACGAAUGGCGUAAUGAUGGCCAGGCUGUCUCCACCCGAGACUCAGUGAAAUUGAACUCGCUGUGAAGAUGCAGUGUACCCGCGGCAAGACGGAAAGACCCCGUGAACCUUUACUAUAGCUUGACACUGAACAUUGAGCCUUGAUGUGUAGGAUAGGUGGGAGGCUUUGAAGUGUGGACGCCAGUCUGCAUGGAGCCGACCUUGAAAUACCACCCUUUAAUGUUUGAUGUUCUAACGUGGACCCGUUACCCGGGUUGCGGACAGUGUCUGGUGGGUAGUUUGACUGGGGCGGUCUCCUCCUAAAGAGUAACGGAGGAGCACGAAGGUUGGCUAAUCCUGGUCGGACAUCAGGAGGUUAGUGCAAUGGCAUAAGCCAGCUUGACUGCGAGCGUGACGGCGCGAGCAGGUGCGAAAGCAGGUCAUAGUGAUCCGGUGGUUCUGAAUGGAAGGGCCAUCGCUCAACGGAUAAAAGGUACUCCGGGGAUAACAGGCUGAUACCGCCCAAGAGUUCAUAUCGACGGCGGUGUUUGGCACCUCGAUGUCGGCUCAUCACAUCCUGGGGCUGAAGUAGGUCCCAAGGGUAUGGCUGUUCGCCAUUUAAAGUGGUACGCGAGCUGGGUUUAGAACGUCGUGAGACAGUUCGGUCCCUAUCUGCCGUGGGCGCUGGAGAACUGAGGGGGGCUGCUCCUAGUACGAGAGGACCGGAGUGGACGCAUCACUGGUGUUCGGGUUGUCAUGCCAAUGGCACUGCCCGGUAGCUAAAUGCGGAAGAGAUAAGUGCUGAAAGCAUCUAAGCACGAAACUUGCCCCGAGAUGAGUUCUCCCUGAGACUUAAAGUCUCCUGAAGGAACGUUGAAGACGACGACGUUGAUAGGCCGGGUGUGUAAGCGCAGCGAUGCGUUGAGCUAACCGGUACUAAUGAACCGUGAGGCUUAACCUUA